UAAGGAAUCUUCGGCAAUGGGGGCAACCCUGACCGAGCAACGCCGCGUGAGUGAAGAAGGUUUUCGGAUCGUAAAGCUCUGUUGUAAGAGAAGAACGUGUGUGAGAGUGGAAAGUUCACACAGUGACGGUAACUUACCAGAAAGGGACGGCUAACUACGUGCUAG
rnacentral:rRNA from 1 species